rnacentral:rRNA from 1 species
UACGAGUGCCCCAAGCGUUAUCCGGAAUUAUUGGGCGUAAAGGGUGUGUAGGUGGUUCUGUUAGUCUCUUGUUAAAGCUCUCGGCUUAACCGGGAACAUGCAGGGGAAACGGCAGAACUAGAGGAUGCGAGAGGUGUGCGGAACUCAUGGUGUAGGGGUGAAAUCCGUUGAUAUCAUGGGGAACACCGAAAGCGAAGGCAGCACACUGGCGCACUCCUGACACUGAAACACGAAAGCGUGGGUAGCGAAUGGG